GAUGAACGCUGGCGGCGUGCUUAACACAUGCAAGUCGAACGAAGCACUUUAUUUGAUUUCCUUCGGGACUGAUUAUUUUGUGACGGAGUGGCGGACGGGCUAGUAACGCAUGGGUAACCUGCCCUGUACAGUGGGAUAACAGUUGGAAACGGCUGCUAAUACCGCAUAAGCGCACGGCAUCGCAUGAUGCAGUGUGAAAAACUCCGGUGGUAUAAGAUGGACCCUGCUUGGAUUAGCUAGUUGGUGAGGUAACGGCCCGCCAAGGCGACGAUCCAUAGCCGACCUGAGAGGGUGACCGGCCACAUUGGGACUGAGACACGGCCCAAACUCCUACGGGAGGCAGCAGUGGGGAAUAUUGCACAAUGGGCGAAAGCCUGAUGCAGCGACGCCGCGUGAGCGAAGAAGUAUUUCGGUAUGUAAAGCUCUAUCAGCAGGGAAGAUAAUGACGGUACCUGACUAAGAAGCACCGGCUAAAUACGUGCAAGCCGCCGCAGUAA
rnacentral:rRNA from 1 species